GUCUAUAGCCAUACCACCCUGAACACACCUGAUCUCAUCUGACCUCAGAAGAUAAGCAGGGUUGGGUCUGGUUAGUACUUGGAUGGGAGAAAAAAUGAAAUUGUAUUGU
ensembl:rRNA 5S_rRNA 5S ribosomal RNA